UAGGGAAUCUUCCACAAUGGACGAAAGUCUGAUGGAGCAACGCCGCGUGAGUGAAGAAGGGUUUCGGCUCGUAAAACUCUGUUGUUAAAGAAGAACAUAUCUGAGAGUAACUGUUCAGGUAUUGACGGUAUCUAACCAGAAAGCCACGGCUAACUACGUGCCAC
rnacentral:rRNA from 1 species